rnacentral:rRNA from 1 species
UACGUAGGGUGCGAGCGUUGUCCGGAAUUAUUGGGCGUAAAGAGCUCGUAGGCGGCUUGUCGCGUCGGAUGUGAAAGCCCGGGGCUUAACUCCGGGUCUGCAUUCGAUACGGGCAGGCUAGAGUUCGGUAGGGGAGAUCGGAAUUCCUGGUGUAGCGGUGAAAUGCGCAGAUAUCAGGAGGAACACCGGUGGCGAAGGCGGAUCUCUGGGCCGAUACUGACGCUGCGGAGCGAAAGCGUGGGGAGCGAACAGG